rnacentral:rRNA from 1 species
AUUCCAGGUGUAGCGGUGGAAUGCGUAGAUAUCUGGAAGAACACCAAAGGCGAAGGCAGCCUCCUGGGCGAAUACUGACGCUCAUAUGCGAAAGCGCGGGGAGCAAACAGGAUUAGAUACCCUGGUAGUCCGCGCCGUAAACGAUGUCGAUUAGGAGUCCGGGCGUUAAGUCUGGGUUCCGGAGCAAACGCGUUAAAUCGACCGCCUGGGGAGUACGGCCGCAAGGUUAAAACUCAAAUGAAUUGACGGGGGCCCGCACAAGCGGUGGAGCAUGUGGUUUAAUUCGACGCAACGCGAAGAACCUUACCUGAUCUUGACAUCGCGGGAACCCCGCUGAAGGGCGGGGGUGCCUUCGGGAACCCGCAGACAGGUGCUGCAUGGCUGUCGUCAGCUCGUGUCGUGAGAUGUUGGGUUAAGUCCCGCAACGAGCGCAACCCUUGUCCCCUGUUGCCAGCGGAUCAUGCCGGGAACUCAGGGGAGACUGCCAGUGACAAACUGGAGGAAGGCAGGGAUGACGUCAAGUCAUCAUGGCCCUUACGGUCAGGGCUACACACGUGCUACAAUGGGACGUACAGAGGGAAGCAAGCCUGCGAGGGCAAGCGGAACCCUUAAAGCGCCCCCAAGUUCGGACUGGAGUCUGCAACUCGACUCCACGAAGUCGGAAUCGCUAGUAAUCGCAGAUCAGAACGCUGCGGUGAAUACGUUCCCGGGCCUUGUACACACCGCCCGUCACACCAUGGGAGUGAAUUGCACCAGAAGUGGCCAGCCCAACCGAAAGGAGGGCGGUUACCACGGUGUGGUUCAUGACUGGGGUGAAGUCGUAACAAGGUAACCA